rnacentral:lncRNA from 1 species
GUGGAGACAGGAGAUUGAUACAGUGGACCUGGAGACAGUGACACUCCCUUGGUCUGCCUCAAUCCCCUUGACUUUGUUCCCCACUGGAAUAUGGAAUGGUCAACUUAGUUGACCAUUAGUUAGGUCCAACUUAGUUCCCUAAUCCAGGCUCCCCCUUGCCAAGCAAGAUAGUGGAAAACAAGCCAGAGGUUGAAUUCUUCCCUGAAGUCCUGCAAGCUCAGUUAAGGAGUCCUGGGGAGCUGAAAUCCUUGAUAAUGCCAAACAAUUCAACACUUUACACUCUCUUUACUUUGUCUGCACCACAGAAAAAUAUCGACUCGAUGCUGCCAGCUGAGGGAAGUGAGAUGCCAUAUUCUUUCUGCAUGUAGAAAUCUAUUCCCUUUGGAGGGUGAGAGUUUAGGAUCCUAAGCUUGAUCGGGCCAAGCAAGGCAAAGGGCAGUCUGGUACUCCUUGGCCCCAAGGGCUGUAGGACCUUGUACACCUGGACUAUCUUUCUGUCCUUCUGCAUGUGCUGCUGCUCUGUCCUUGCACAGAACCUCUGAUGAGAGGUGCAAAUAUCACUUCCUGAGCUUAGCGCCAGCCAGGGCCCUGGAGGUUACAAAGCUGCCGCCUUCCAGCUCAGACUUUCAGCUUGGGGCAACACAUUUCAGCCUGGGGAAUGUAUCACGAGCACCUUUGUUGCUAGAAGAGGAGGCUGGGGACAGAGGCCAAGACUUGCCCAGAGCCACACUGCAAUCACGCUAGCGCGUACAGCCCCUUCUGCCAACACGUAGCCCGGAAAUUUGCCUAUUUGUCUAAUCACCUUUGAGUCUUGAACAAAUAUUAAAUGCCUGUGAUAUGCCAGGCAUUGUGUUAGGACCCAGGCAGCUUUCUGAGAGUCCAGGGAGCUCAGCUUUCAGGUAUCCUUAGAGACAAAGUACAGAGCUCAUGCUUGGAUGGAGGGAAGUUCUACUGGGGCAAACAAUGUCUGGCUUCCGCAGGCAUUUUCAAAUCCUUCUCCCCUCCUCUGUAGCCAUUUCCCUCUCCAGUUUAUACUCACACACACUCACCUGCAUUUCAGGCACCCAGAAACACACUAAACAUCUGGAAGUUCUGUUUAGUAAUCUGUCUUCCUUCUUCUUUUAUAAUAGUUAAGAGUGUGAGUUUAGGCUUAAAUAUUGGCUCUAAUGCUAGUUGGAAGAACUGUGGUUAGUCUAUCUGUGCCUCUGUGGUGUCAUCUAUAAAAUGGGGGUGUUAAGAAUGUUAUAUAAUAUUAAAUAGAAUAAUACUGUUCAGCAUGGUGCCAAGUACAUGGUAUUAAAAAAUUCUAGCUGCUGGGUCAGAGAGAUGGUUUAUCAGGUAAAGGACAAAAGUGGAGGAAGGAGAAAACUGAGUUCCACAAGUUGUCCUCCGACUUCCACAUGAACAUUCAACACUACCCACCCUGCGCCAAUGGAUAAGUGUGAUAAUGCUUUAAAAAGUACUAGCUAGUAGGCAAAAAUUCUACUACUAAGCCAAACCCACAACUUAUUAUUAUUCUAAUGGACAGUGUCUGGAGGAGGUUUGGACAAAGAACAGUCUCCUCUCUUAUGCUGGUCCAGCUUUGCCCCCUCCAAAGAUAGCAUUCUGUACUCGUGAUGUGAGCCACUCACCUUGGUCUCUUUUCUGUCCCUAUCCCCUCCACCCACAUCCACAAUGCAGAGCAGUGGCUCCACAGUGCAGAACCAGCUGCCAGUUGUCAUCCUGUGCCUCCCUGGAGAGAGAGAGAGAGAGCAAGGCAGGGAGGAGAGGACAGUAGCCUUGACUUAGAUCAUUGGUGCAGAGCUUUGUGGGGUGUCAGCCUUUUGUAUAGAGGAAAGUCAUCUGUUUCCUGGGCCCACAGCCAGCUCAUCUCCAGCACAGGGCUAUGAGAAGCUUCAGAAACCAGAAGAGAGAAUGAAAAAGACCUUCUGGGUUUGUGUUACAGCUUUUAGGGAGUCCCUCGCUGUCUUCAGAACUAGAACAUGAGCCCAGGAAAAAGAGGGACCAUGCAGGAAGAUCCUCUGACUCCAAGUAGGGUAAUUAUGAGUUAGGACAGUAACUCCAGCUUUCAACCAGUGGCAUUUGUAAAAUCCUAUGUCAUCAAUUGCUCACGACAGCCCUUUGAGACCAACAUGACCAGUGUUGUUAACAGCAUUUAACUGAUAAGUAGUUUGAGGCCCAGAGAUGUUGCUGUUGCACAGAAUGCUCAAGGUCCUGAGCGGGUAAGGGUAGCAAGAAUGUAAGCUUCCUUAUCCUGAUUCCUAGUCACACCCACUUUUGUACUACCAGCGGUUCUCCCAAGGCCCUUGGUCAUCUCUGUUUCGCAGGGAGGGAGCUGAGUGGCUCAUCCAAAUUCUACAUUAUGUCAAAGAAGGUAGGAAAACAAACCAAAAUCAACCAACCAACCAACCAAUGACAAACAAACAAAAGCCUAUGACGUCUGGGUAAGCUGAGAGUGUGACCCGAAACAUAUUGGUGUCAGUUUCUUUGCACUCUGAUAUGAUGGCCAAUAAUGGCCAGACUUGGUCUGAGAAAUGGACGGAAAAGGACUACCUAAGACCUUGAGAAUGUGUCAAAGGUCAAGACCUGUAAUCUAAGACCAAACUUUGGGGCUUCUAACUGCCCUGAAGCUCAGCUUUCAUUCAUUUAUUUGGGCAGAUUCAUUCAUUCUAAUAACAAAUCUCUGCUCUCGUGUAUUCAUCCAACAUUACUCUUUCAUUCUAAUUAUUCAUUUGAUAUGUGAUGUGUGCUGUUCUUCCCACUGCUCAGAACAAAGGACCUGGGACCCAGGCUCCCACCUUGCAAGAACUGAGGGUGCUGGGAAAGAAACAAUGGUACUUUUACCAAAUCCAGAGUCAAGUCAGCCCUGCCCAGCAGUGCUCAGCUCCAUGUAAGCUUGAGCCUCCUACGCAGUGAAAUCCUGCGCUGAAGACUGCGCUCACUCAGGCCUGCAGGGUGGGCAGCUCUCCCACACCCUCAGUUCCUGAGAUGCACGUGCAGCUUCCAGCCCAGGAGACAAGCUAGCCUACAGGCUUGUCUCUCAGUGGGAUGCCUGCUUACUUCUCUAGAUGUCUGUAGUUCAGCAUCUGUAUCUGCCUGUCUUUCCAGCACCAAGGUGCUUCUCCAUCUGUUUCCUUAACACAACCUUCAGAGGGGUACCCAGUAACCACUUAGUCUAGUCUCUUUUGACUCACCUCAAGUGCCUUCACAACACCUGCUCAUCCCCCGAAGCUUCCAAAACCUUCUCUUUUCUAGCACAGUUCCAUCCAACACUCAUGUCUCUCAUAUCUAUGUGACAGGUCCUGUGAUGUCACAAUUUGGAAGUCCUGUGAUGUCACAUAGCAGCAGUCCUAUCAUAACUUAUACUAGCCCUAAGAACUAAGGUAACUAAGGCUUCUUACUGUGUGUCAGAAGGUGACAGUGAGCAGCAGGUCUAUGGGGAGGAUAGCAUGGGGUUCAAGGACAGGAACAAGCUUCACCCAGAUGGAGGAUAUGACUGAGCUGAGCCUCAACCAAUAAAAAAUGGGGUUGGAUAAAAGGAGAGUGCUCUAGACAGAGGGAAAAAGCAUUUUGGAAAGGUAGAAAAUGGCACCACACACCAGGAAAUAGUGAAUUUGACUUGAUGAUGAAGGAUGGCCCUGAAUAAGGCUGCCAAGGCUGGAAGGGUCCCAUAUUCCAGGCUCAAGUCUUUAUCUGGCAGGAAAAACUUGGUUUUUAAUAUUUAGUGUUAGUUCCUAAAGAUUUACCUCAGAGUUACCUUCAGUCCAAGGAGCCUUCUCAGACUCAGUUCUAGAGCAGCUCUGGGGGUGGGACUCAGGGCCCUGGGAAUGGUAAGCAAGCACUCCACCUUUGACUCUACAUCCCUAGACCCUUUUUGGUACUGACUGACACCUCCUGCCCCUGUUACAGUGCCCCUCACUUGACUUUAAAUUUUCACCUAACUGGCUGAUGCCACCACUGGAUGGAGAUGAAGACUCGUUCUCUCCAGAAAGAGUCUGCCAUUGAAUGAGUGAGCUCAAACUGAAGCCAAUUUGCUCACUUCCUGAUAUCUACAUCCAUCUAAACUGUUUAAAUAAAGAUUGACCUAUCUCUCUC